CAGAGUUGAAAAACUCCCUAAACACUUGUGAACCUACUCGUAUUGUUGCUUCGGUGGGCGGCCCCAGGGCGGGGCCGUAGCCUGUAUAGGCGCCCGCCGGAGGUUAUAAACUCUACAUUCAUUUGUCUCUCUGAGUAACUUAUCAAUAAGUCA
rnacentral:misc_RNA from 1 species